UACGUAGGGGGCAAGCGUUGUCCGGAUUCAUUGGGCGUAAAGAGCGUGUAGGCGGCCAGGUAGGUCGGUUGUGAAAACUGGAGGCUCAACCUUCAGAGGUCGACCGAAACCAUCUGGCUAGAGUCCGGGAGAGGAGAGUGGAAUUCCUGGUGUAGCGGUGAAAUGCGCAGAUAUCAGGAAGAACACCCGUGGCGAAAGCGACUCUCUGGAACGGUACUGACGCUGAGACGCGAAAGCGUGGGGAGCGAACAGG
rnacentral:rRNA from 1 species